rnacentral:rRNA from 1 species
GAUGAACGCUGGCGGCGUGCCUAACACAUGCAAGUCGAACGGAAUUUACAUGAAGCCUAGCGAUUGUAAAUUUAGUGGCGGACGGGUGAGUAACGCGUGGGUAACCUGCCUUGUACUGGGGGACAACAGUUGGAAACGACUGCUAAUACCGCAUAAGCGCACAGCUUCGCAUGAAGCAGUGUGAAAAACUCCGGUGGUACAAGAUGGACCCGCGUCUGAUUAGCUGGUUGGUGAGGUAACGGCCUACCAAGGCAACGAUCAGUAGCCGACCUGAGAGGGUGACCGGCCACAUUGGGACUGAGACACGGCCCAGACUCCUACGGGAGGCAGCAGUGGGAAUAUUGCACAAUGGAGGAAAACUCUGAUGCAGCGACGCCGCGUGAGUGAAGAAGUAAUUCGUUAUGUAAAAGCUCUAUCAGCAGGAAGAUAGUGACGGUACCUGACUAAGAAGCUCCGGCUAAAUACGUG